rnacentral:rRNA from 1 species
GAUGAACGCUAGCGGGAGGCCUAACACAUGCAAGCCGAGCGGGAUUUGAGACUAGCUUGCUAGUCUUAAUGAGAGCGGCGUACGGGUGCGGAACACGUGUGCAACCUGCCUUUAUCCGGGAGAUAGCCUUUCGAAAGGAAGAUUAAUAUCCCAUAAUAUAAUGAUUGGCAUCAAUUAUUAUUGAAAGCUCCGGCGGAUAGAGAUGGGCACGCGCAAGAUUAGAUAGUUGGUGAGGUAACGGCUCACCAAGUCGAUGAUCUUUAGGGGGCCUGAGAGGGUGAUCCCCCACACUGGUACUGAGACACGGACCAGACCCCUACGGGAGGCAGCAGUGAGGAAUAUUGGACAAUGGGUGAAAGCCUGAUCCAGCCAUCCCGCGUGAAGGAUUAAGGACCUAUGGUUUGUAAACUUCUUUUCUACAGGGAUAAACCUACUCUCGUGAGAGUAGCUGAAGGUACUGUAGGAAUAAGCACCGGCUAACUCCGUGCCAGCAGCCGCCGUAAGAC